GCCGGGGAAGGCCGCGGCGUGCUGAGGGGCCGGUCUGCGGCUCCGCACCGCAGCAAACGCGGAACCCGGCUCCGAGCACACGGACAGGCUUCAGGCUGUGACCAGGCGGCCUCUACUGGGGAGACCUCGGUUCGGCGGGAGGGCGGCCGGGCGGAAACAGCCACCGAGCAGUGGGGCCUCCCGGGCUGCCGCGGACCCACGCCGCCAGGGACGGGGAGAAGCUUUGCUGAGGGGAGUGGGAGGUCAUCGAUCUCGGCUGCCUGAGACAUCCCCGGCGUCCCCGCGCGAGCUGUGGGUCGCUAAUCCGUGGGUGCCCUUGACCCUGUCGCCAGUGUUGAGCUGUCCCCCGGGUGAGCGCAGGGAUGCGGGCCCGCUGCAGGUGAGGCACGGCACCGAAGAGCAGGAGGGCGCCGGGCUGACAUGGAUGCUGGGUGUGUGGUCUGGAGCAACGGAGGGUGUCGGCGCACCCGGCCACAAUGGAGGGCUAGAGUUAGUCACUUCCAUAGGCCCCAAAAUAUCCCCGCCAGAUGGCUGACGAAGUGGGACGAGCCCUGGUUCCCUCAUAAAUAACCUGGGGCUUGUGUCCCACCUAACUUUGUAAUGAAAGCCAGAGUCAGGCCAGUUGAAAAAGCAAAAAGGAUGAAGAAGGAGCAGGUGAGGUGGCCACUGAAACGAGGAAAGGCCAGGACUUGGAGCCAGUGCUGUGAUCAACAUGGCAAAGUCCCUGACAGGAAAAAGGAAGCUGGUUUUGGCAGAGCAGUGCUGGUGGAGAGACAAAGGUCCCAGCGCAGUCACGUCAGCUGUCAGAAGCUGUCUGAGGAUCUGGGCUCUUCUGAGGUGAUACGUAAUUUCCAGCCGAUCCUGAAAUCAUGUUUUAGCUUGCUUGUGAUAGAUGUUAGGGAAGUGGAGUGCAUUGUGCAAUUUGCCGUGAUGCAGAGCAAUAUGGUGGUCGGUGCCUUGGAGCCACGUGGUAAACUGGAGCAAGGUUCUGCCCCCCCCUUGGAAAGCCAUUUGGUGAACAGACAGCAAGUGUUGGCUCCGUGGGUUGGGCUGACGAGAGGCAGUGGCUGCAGCUGGUGUGUACUGCCUGUAGAUGAGGUAUGUCAGAAAUAGCUAGGCAUCUCUCCAACUUGCUUUAAACUGAUACAAAUGCAACUGAAUUCCUUGGACUUUCAGCAUUGUUAAACUGGGCUAAAUGAGAAGAGAGUUAUUUUCACAAACUUCAGAAAUGCAAACAAUAACUUCCUGCCACAAAGAAACUGAAGAGUUAAAGACUUUUCGCAUUCGAUGCAUAUUCCUUCAGCAAACAUAGCGGAGAUGAAGGUCACAGACUUGAAACUCAAUAAUCCAGCUACGGAACAAAUAAGAAAAGCACCAAGGUACAAAUAUGGUGCCUGGCUAAAUCCUAAUGAUAGUUAUUAAUUCAUGGGCUGAUUUGGCUUCAAAAGUCUUUUGUUCUUUCCCUCUCUUUCCCACAUGUCAUUUGGGAUACAAUUAAUGGUCUUGGUCUCAGCUUUUACUAAGUUUUAAGUUCUGCUAAUGUGCUGAGCUACUUCAGGUUGUCUUGACAGACUGUUCCCCAGUGUGGUCAACAAUUACCGAGUUCAACAAAACCCAUCUUCAGGUAUAUGAAGCAUAUAUUUUAUGAUUGCAGCACUUUGCCUGCAGCACAAAACAAUUUAAUGAAGGUUGUGGCCCAGCAACAAAGCUGCAGAAAAGAGACAAAGCUGCAGAAGAGUGGUGGUGGUAAGGAAACUCUGGAAGACAAUGACUAUUUAUAUUACAAUAUUGUCUACAACAUGCAAGAAAUGUUUUCCAAGCAUAUAAAGACUCUAUUCAUUAACAAAGAGUUUGUUCCUUAGCAUACAGCGUAAGGACAAAGCACCACAAAAAAGCGACAUAUGGUAUACAAAACAAAAUGACCACCAUGAUCGUUGCCAAAACUGAGGGGGAAGGGACUUCCUCCUCUUUCUUCUCUAGUUACUCUUCACUUGCUAACGUAGUAUUUCCAAGAUAGCCAGUUCCUUGUCUGUGUCAGUGAAUGUUGGAAAAGGACUUGACUGGUGACUAGGUAAUGAUGGAACAGAUUGCUUUGCAAAAGAGUGCACAUGGAAAGUCUUCAAAGUAAUACCAGUCACGAUGAGGAUGUUGUGGAAUAAAUUUAAUGCAAGGUCAUAGUUUUUUGUCACCACUUAGAUAUGGAUCUGAUCUGUUUAUUAGAAUUAAAAAAAAAAAAGGUUGGUCAAUGAAUAA